rnacentral:rRNA from 1 species
UACGUAGGGUGCGAGCGUUAAUCGGAAAUACUGGGCGUAAAGCGUGCGCAGGCGGUGAUGUAAGACCGAUGUGAAAUCCCCGGGCUUAACCUGGGAACUGCAUUGGUGACUGCAUCGCUCGAGUAUGGCAGAGGGGGGUAGAAUUCCACGUGUAGCAGUGAAAUGCGUAGAGAUGUGGAGGAAUACCGAUGGCGAAGGCAGCCCCCUGGGUCAAUACUGACGCUCAUGCACGAAAGCGUGGGGAGCAAACAGG